GCCGCCCAUAAACAAAAUGCACUCUUCCUCCUCCCCUCCGCGGCUCCUCCCCUAACUGCCCCUUCUCUCAUCUCUGUCAUCUUUGAUUGGCCUAGGAGACACCCAAUCCGCUAUCUCAAGCAUCAACUGUCUUGGAUCCCCCAGUCAUUCAUAAAGACCAGCACCAACGUCUUCCAAAUGCCUAUUCCUGUUUUUAUUUUGACUUCUUCUCAUCAAUCAUAAGUAAUGUCAAUGGAAUCUAGAGUGGUAGGAGGACUUCUUAGCUUUGAGAGAAGAUCUGAUCUGAUCUGUGAUGAAAUAUGCUGCUUUCCUGGGCUGCUUCCCCACGUUAGUAUGCAGUAUGGAGCAGUGUGGGUAUAACAGUAAACAUCUAGCUGGUGGAUCGUGUGAAUGCCCAGGAACACUGUAAUAAAAGUGUGACAAUGGAAACAGAAGAUGUGAAUACAACCGAGGCAGACUCUUCAUCAAUGAAUGCAGCUACAGAGUCAAUAAAUUACCAGUGGGGAGCCCUCGGGUAUCAUCAGUAUAUCAAAUCUGCAUGUCUUAAAGAGAUAAAAGAAAUAAAGCAAGCCUAUCAGCU
ensembl:processed_transcript 4932412D23Rik RIKEN cDNA 4932412D23 gene